rnacentral:tRNA from 1 species
GGGGGAUUAGCUCAGCUGGGAGAGCGCUUGCAUGGCAUGCAAGAGGUCAUCGGUUCAAUCCCGUUAUCCUCCA